CAAGGCCAGGUUGGAUAGAGCUUGGAGCAACCUGGGAUAGUGGAAGCUGUCCCUGCCCAUGACAAGAGGUGGAAUGGGAUGGACUUUAAGAUCCUUUCAACCCAAACCAUUCUGUAAUUCU